rnacentral:lncRNA from 1 species
GUUGUAUGUAUCUGAUCUCUACUGUAGUAGGGAUGGAAGGUUAGACAGGUUGUAUGUAUCUGAUCACUACUGUAGUAGGGUUGGAAGGUUAGACAGGUAUCUGAUCUCUACUGUAGUAGGGUUGGAAGGUUAGACAGGUAUCUGAUCUCUACUGUAGUAGGGUUGGAAGGUUAGACAGGUUGUAUGUAUCUGAUCUCUACUGUAGUAGGGUUGGAAGGUUAGACAGGUAUCUGAUCUCUACUGUAGUAGGGUUGGAAGGUUAGACAGGUAUCUGAUCUCUACUGUAGUAGGGUUGGAAGGUUAGACAGGUUGUAUGUAUCUGAUCUCUACUGUAGUAGGGAUGGAAGGUUAGACAGGUAUCUGAUCACUACUGUAGUAGGGUUGGAAGGUUAGACAGGUUGUAUGUAUCUGAUCUCUACUGUAGUAGGGUUGGAAGGUUAGACAGGUUGUAUGUAUCUGAUCUCUACUGUAGUAGGGUUGGAAGGUUAGACAGGUUGUAUGUAUCUGAUCUCUACUGUAGUAGGGUUGGAAGGUUAGACAGGUUGUAUGUAUCUGAUCUCUACUGUAGUAGGGUUGGAAGGUUAGACAGGUAUCUGAUCUCUACUGUAGUAGGGAUGGAAGGUUAGACAGGUAUCUGAUCUCUACUGUAGUAGGGUUGGAAGGUUAGACAGGUGGUAUGUAUCUGAUCUCUACUGUAGUAGGGUUGGAAGGUUAGACAGGUG